rnacentral:lncRNA from 1 species
UACUCCGAGACCUUUCGUGAGUAUACUAGAGAGCACCCUACUCUCAUAGAUUGCGACGUUUAACAAUCUGACUCAUAUAGGUAUGUUCUUCAAAAGAUGUUCUGCAGGACAACAUCUCUGCUUCAGUAAGCAACUUAGAACAUAUUAAGAUGUAUAUCAACCUGCCAUGCAGUUCAGGAAAGUAUUGCAUCUUCAUGGAGUGGUAUCAUUAAUGAUAAGGAUACUUUCCUCUCAGUUGACCAACAGCUUGUCUUCCACAUCUA